CCUACGUGAGGCAGCAGUGGGGAAUAUUGCACAAUGGGGGAAACCCUGAUGCAGCGACGCCGCGUGAGUGAAGACGUAAUUCGUUAUGUAAAGCUCUAUCAGCAGGGAAGAAAAUGACGGUACCUGAGUAAGAAGCCCCGGCUAACUACGUGCCAGCAGCCGCGGUAAUACGUAGGGGGCAAGCGUUAUCCGGAUUUACUGGGUGUAAAGGGAGUGUAGACGGCAGUGCAAGUCUGGAGUGAAAGGCGGGGGCUCAACCCCCGGACUGCUCUGGAAACUGUACGGCUGGAGGGCAGGAGAGGUAAGUGGAAUUCCUAGUGUAGCGGGGAAAUGCGUAGAUAUUAGGAGGAACACCAGUGGCGAAGGCGGCUUACGGGACUGUAACUGACGUUGAGGCUCGAAAGCGUGGGGAGCAAACAGGAUUAGAUACCCCUGUAGUC
rnacentral:rRNA from 1 species